rnacentral:rRNA from 1 species
GAUGAACGCUGGCGGCGUGCCUAAUACAUGCAAGUCGAGCGAACAGAUGAGGAGCUUGCUCCUCUGACGUUAGCGGCGGACGGGUGAGUAACACGUGGAUAACCUACCUAUAAGACUGGGAUAACUUCGGGAAACCGGAGCUAAUACCGGAUAAUAUAUUGAACCGCAUGGUUCAAUAGUGAAAGACGGUUUUGCUGUCACUUAUAGAUGGAUCCGCGCCGCAUUAGCUAGUUGGUAAGGUAACGGCUUACCAAGGCAACGAUGCGUAGCCGACCUGAGAGGGGGAUCGGCCACACUGGAACUGAGACACGGUCCAGACUCCUACGGGAGGCAGCAGUCGGGAAUCUGACGCAAUGGGCGAAAGCCUGACGCAGCAACGCCGCGUGAGUGAUGAAGGUCUUCGGAUCGUAAAACUCUGUUAUUAGGGAAGAACAACUGUGUAAGUAACUAUGGCCGUAUUGACGGUAACUAAUCAGAAAGCCACGGCUAACUACGUG